rnacentral:tRNA from 1 species
UGUUCAACUGGCUGGGGCAAGACCUGACGGGCUGCCGCUGCGUCGAUGCGUUUGCCGGCAGCGGCGCGCUGGGGUUCGAGGCCGCCUCGCGCGGC